UUCAGUGUGGCAUAGUGGUUUGAGUGUUGGACUACAACUCUGGAGACCAGGGUUCAAUUCCUUCCUGACCAUGAAA